AUACGUAUGUCGCAAGCGUUAUCCGGAAUUAUUGGGCGUAAAGCGAGUCUAGGCGGCUUGUUAAGUCAGAUGUGAAAAUGCGGGGCUCAACUCCGUAUUGCGUUUGAAACUGGCAGGCUAGAGUACUGGAGAGGUGGGCGGAACUACAAGUGUAGAGGUGAAAUUCGUAGAUAUUUGUAGGAAUGCCGAUAGUGAAGACAGCUCACUGGACAGAUACUGACGCUAAAGCUCGAAAGCGUGGGGAGCAAACAGAAUUAGAAACCCUAGUAGUCC
rnacentral:rRNA from 1 species